rnacentral:lncRNA from 1 species
CUAAAAGGCAUCGAAUGAUUCUAUCGACAUUCUAUUAAAUCAGCCCCCGCGGUCUGCGUGGGGAGGAGGGCUCCAGGAGUGCCGAGUCCUGGACCUGGGUUCGGUGGCCGCCUGGAGAAGCUCCUGCUACGAACCGAACGUUUGCGCCGAUCGGACGCGGCCCUUUCUGCAGAAUUUACUCUUCUCAGCCCGAGGCUCAGACCCAGCUACUCAGACCGCCCCAGCCGGGAGAAUCCUGCCUCCCUGCCCGGGAGUCCCCGGUUCGCAGAUAUAUUACAACAAAAUUACUAAUUGGAAAAUGAAAUUGUCAAUAAAGCAUACCCCCCGCGUAUACAAUAUCCUUAAAUAUUAAGAUAUUUUAUUAGACCCAUUUCCUAACAAUAAUUUAUUGCAAUAAAACAGACACCGCAGGUCCCCUUAAAUUGUCUUUUCAUAAUGAAUAAAUUUAAGGGGGCUAAUUAAUAUAUAAACUAGCCCAAUUUGUCAAGUUGAUUUGUAUUUUAGUUAAUUGUGAAAGUAAUUACCACAUGGUCAAAUUAACAGCUUUCUGGAAAUGACCAAGCCUGAGGUUUUAUUUCCUUCCUGGGUGAAGAAAAUUCAUUUUUCCAAGCUCUUGAUGUGAUGAAUAAAAGUCAUAAAUCUGGGUGAUUGGUGCAGGCAGAGUCUAAAUGGCUUCAUAUUUCAUUUUAGGUUUAAUAGAAAUAUUCAUGCUCUGUUUUAAUGAAAUUAAAUUGAAGGGGGAUGGGGCCGGGAGGUGGCAGUGGCCGGGGGCUUAAAGGGACAACGCACAUUUUCCUUCCCCGCCCCUGAGCCAGGGCGUUGGGGUCACCUCCGCCGGCGGCGGCCGAUGGGCUCACUCCUGCCAGCGGGAGCCGAGGGAUACCUGGGAGGGCCCUUCCUGCAGCCGCUCACCUGAAGCGCAGCCACCAGCAGCUGCAGCUUUUGCCACCUCAGCAACUACUAAAUAGACCAAUUAGUGCAGACUUCCUGCCAUUAUCGAACAUGGACUUGGACAUUAGUGCGCCACUAUUCAGCCAUAAUUUCGAGUCAGAAUGCGCUAAAAAAUUCACACACUGAAGCAUUCAAAUGUCCCUGAGCCACAUCUGUGUGUGUAUUUGUGCUUCUUCCCUGUGUGUUUCACCCACCCA